CUCCAACACACACACAACCCUUAUCUCAUGAAACACCAAGGGCAUCAAGGUAAAGCUCCAACACACACAACCCUUAUCUCAUGAAGCACCAAGGGUAUCAAGGUAAAGCUCCAACACACACACAGCCCUUAUCUCAUGAAACACCAAGGGCAUCAAGGUAAAGCUCCAACACACACACAACCCUUAUCUCAUGAAACACCAAGGGCAUCAAGGUAAAGCUCCAACACACGCAACCCUUAUCUCAUGAAACACCAAGGGCAUCAAGGUAAAGCUCCAACACACACACAACCCUUAUCUCAUGAAACACCAAGGGCAUCAAGGUAAAGCUCCAACACACACACAACCCUUAUCUCAUGAAACACCAAGGGUAUCAAGGUAAAGCUCCAACACACACACAACCCUUAUCUCAUGAAACACCAAGGGCAUCAAGGUAAAGCUCCAACACACACACAACCCUUAUCUCAUGAAACACCAAGGGCAUCAAGGUAAAGCUCCAACACACACACAACCCUUAUCUCAUGAAACACCAAGGGCAUCAAGGUAAAGCUCCAACACACACACAACCCUUAUCUCAUGAAACACCAAGGGCAUCAAGGUAAAGCUCCAACACACACAACCCUUAUCUCAUGAAACACCAAGGGCAUCAAGGUAAAGCUCCAACACACACACAACCCUUAUCUCAUGAAACACCAAGGGCAUCAAGGUAAAGCUCCAACACACACAACCCUUAUCUCAUGAAACACCAAGGGCAUCAAGGUAAAGCUCCAACACACACACAACCCUUAUCUCAUGAAACACCAAGGGCAUCAAGGUAAAGCUCCAACACACACAACCCUUAUCUCAUGAAACACCAAGGGCAUCAAGGUAAAGCUCCAACACACACAACCCUUAUCUCAUGAAACACCAAGGGCAUCAAGGUAAAGCUCCAACACACACACAACCCUUAUCUCAUGAAACACCAAGGGCAUCAAGGUAAAGCUCCAACACACACAACCCUUAUCUCAUGAAACACCAAGGGCAUCAAGGUAAAGCUCCAACACACACAACCCUUAUCUCAUGAAACACCAAGGGCAUCAAGGUAAAGCUCCAACACACACAACCCUUAUCUCAAGAAACACCAAGGGCAUCAAGGUAAAGCUCCAACACACACAACCCUUAUCUCAUGAAACACCAAGGGCAUCAAGGUAAAGCUCCAACACACACACAGCCCUUAUCUCAUGAAACACCAAGGGCAUCAAGGUAAAGCUCCAACACACACACAACCCUUAUCUCAUGAAACACCAAGGGCAUCAAGGUAAAGCUCCAACACACACAACCCUUAUCUCAUGAAACACCAAGGGCAUCAAGGUAAAGCUCCAACACACACACAACCCUUAUCUCAUGAAACACCAAGGGCAUCAAGGUAAAGCUCCAACACACACACAACCCUUAUCUCAUGAAACACCAAGGGUAUCAAGGUAAAGCUCCAACACACACACAACCCUUAUCUCAUGAAACACCAAGGGCAUCAAGGUAAAGCUCCAACACACACAACCCUUAUCUCAUGAAACACCAAGGGUAUCAAGGUAAAGCUCCAACACACACACAACCCUUAUCUCAUGAAACACCAAGGGCAUCAAGGUAAAGCUCCAACACACACAACCCUUAUCUCAUGAAACACCAAGGGUAUCAAGGUAAAGCUCCAACACACACACAACCCUUAUCUCAUGAAACACCAAGGGCAUCAAGGUAAAGCUCCAACACACACACAACCCUUAUCUCAUGAAACACCAAGGGCAUCAAGGUAAAGCUCCAACACACACACAACCCUUAUCUCAUGAAACACCAAGGGCAUCAAGGUAAAGCUCCAACACACACAACCCUUAUCUCAUGAAACACCAAGGGCAUCAAGGUAAAGCUCCAACACACACACAACCCUUAUCUCAUGAAACACCAAGGGCAUCAAGGUAAAGCUCCAACACACACAACCCUUAUCUCAUGAAACACCAAGGGCAUCAAGGUAAAGCUCCAACACACACACAACCCUUAUCUCAUGAAACACCAAGGGCAUCAAGGUAAAGCUCCAACACACACAACCCUUAUCUCAUGAAACACCAAGGGCAUCAAGGUAAAGCUCCAACACACACAACCCUUAUCUCAUGAAACACCAAGGGCAUCAAGGUAAAGCUCCAACACACACACAACCCUUAUCUCAUGAAACACCAAGGGCAUCAAGGUAAAGCUCCAACACACACAACCCUUAUCUCAUGAAACACCAAGGGCAUCAAGGUAAAGCUCCAACACACACAACCCUUAUCUCAUGAAACACCAAGGGCAUCAAGGUAAAGCUCCAACACACACAACCCUUAUCUCAAGAAACACCAAGGGCAUCAAGGUAAAG